UCUGGUAUACACUAAAAAAAUGAGCACAUAUAUUUGUUGGUAAGCAAUUUUUUUCGCAACAAUUACUGUCGUUGAUUGUAUGUUCCAAAAAUAGUGAACACUUUUUGUGGACCCAAAACACAAAGAGAUAGAUGUCAUAUGUGCUUUUAUGUUUCUGAUCCCCCUUUUCUAGUGCUUCAUACAACAAAGAACCAGAGUCAUCGAUGCAGAGGAUCAUUAUCGCGUCCGCUGGCUGAGGGGCAAGCUGGGGCUGUAGUCCUUGAACAUAGUGGUUCUACUGUGAGGAUCUCAUCUCUCUCACUAUGCGCGUAUCUCUCUCUGUCCUGUCUCCCUUUUUGCUAAUCAUUCACGCCUUUCAUGAUCACUAAGUUUUUUUUAGUUUUGUAGUUGUCGAUUGCUGGGAGAAUGAUUAUCCUGAUUAAUUAAGAUUUAAAUGUGUUAGACCAGACCAAGAUGGAUUAGUUUUGAUGUAUAUUUUGGGUUAGGAAAAUGUCAAACCUUAACAUUUAGAAGAAGCUUUACAUAGUUGGAUCCAUUACAGUGCUGCCUUGGUCGUUGUCGUAGGUGAAGGCCUUGCAUUGGGACUCUGUGCCUCCUAAACUAACAACAAAUGAACUUGCCUUUAGGAUUUUUGCACUGCACUGUGCAUCCAGGUCCAACCCAAUGGUUAGGACGGUGGUUCUUGCAUAGCAUACAUGGAUAUGGUACAUGUGGGGAAGAAAUAUAAGAAACUCAUGCUCAUUAGCGAGGGCAGAGGUCAUAUAGUCAUCAAGGACAUCCUUAGUGUCUUCCACUCCAUCACCUUCUGCUCGGCCACUUUCAGUAAGUACCUUUAUACAAAUCCCCAUUGGACCAAUUAACAUGCUGAAUAUUGUUUCAUACAGUACCUGGCAAAUGGCCAAUCGAGUAAAUGUGGGUUUGGUGCAUUGGUAUGUCCUAUGCAGAGCUUUGAGAUUUGUUUAGGCGCAGAGUGUUCAUGUUAAUCUCCAUGUGUGUGUUCUAGGACAAGAGGAUAUGGGAUAUCUGUGGGGAAAACUUUGUUUUUGCCACUCUAGUUUUUGCCAACUUUGCUUAUGCCACUUUAGAAUUUGAGAUUUCACUUUUGCCACUCUUAGCUUUUGAUAAUAUAUCACUUUUGCCAUUCCGUGGCAAAAGCAAAAAAUUUAGAGUGGCAAUUGUGAUACAUGUCAAAAGCUAAGAGUGGCAAAAGUGAAAUGAAAAAUUAUCGUUUUUGCCACGAAAUGGAAUUUGUGAUGUAUUGUCAAAAGCUAAGGGUGGCAAAAGUGAGAUGUCAAAUUCUAGAGUGGCAUAAGCAAAGUUGGCAAAAACUAGAGUGGCAAAAACAAAGUUUUCCCAUAUCUGUGUUGUGUGUAUGCAGGCAAUUCCCAUGUUUCAGACUCAGUAGUCACUAUUUUUUUGAAGCAGUCAAACUACUAGCAAGAAUAGAUGGCCAGCUUAAUAUUUUCUAUUUCAUGCAUGAUUGAAAUGGCGAAUGUGCUAGAAAAAGAAGAAUUUUGUAACUCCCAAUCUGAGUCAAGCUACUAGCAAUGAGUAGAUGGUCAGCUUAAUAGAUUUUUUAAAUGGGUACGGAAUUGGCAGCAGAUAAAGGGUGAUAGCUUUGCAGUGUGAAUCAUUUUCUAGGCCGCCACCGAUCAUAAAUUGGUGAUAUUGUAGUAGAACUGUGGAAGAACCUUGCUGCAGAUAUCAAAUUUGAUUCAUUUUCUUAUUACAACUAUAUUAGUCUUUUUUGCAAAUUAACUAUUCUUUGUAAGGUCACAAUAUACAACAAAUUAAAAGUAUGAUUCUAGGAUUCUUAUAUGAAGCUGUGUAUUUUGGUCACUUAUGUAUGUUUGUGGGGUCUACUACCUUUUGUUAUGCUUCGUGAAGUACGACAUAGGCGCUUUAUGAACUACCACUAAUUGUUACCCAUCAUGUGGUGUUUGCAUCCUUUUGCAUCGUCUUCGGCCAAAACAUGCUACAUGUAGGUUCUCUUGGGUGUUAUUAUGUUUUAUGUACUAUUAUCAUGACUUGCCUUUGGUAUAUCAUGCUAGGCAAAGAAGACUAUGUACAACCUCUUCUUUUUGAAGCCCUCGGCCCCUCACGACCUGUUGAAGUUGUAAGCAUUCUUAUCUUCUCUCAUUUGGUCUUCUGAUACAAUGUCAUUCCCAGUAUGUGGAAUGCUUUUGUUCAAUAUCAGAUUAGACGGGGUGCAUUGAGCAUCUAUGUACAACCGCUUCUUUUUUGUUCUCAUGUUAGUUUUAAAAUAGUUGCGUUUUUGGCAGUCGGAUAUAGCGAUGGACACAAUAGUAGUUUUUUUGUUUGUUUUUAUUCAAUAGUAGUAUACUCCCGUAUAAAACCAAGAGUUGUAGUACACUAAUGUUAUUUUGGUUUAUGUAGGAGGGCAGUAGCUCACACUGUGAGGGGCUUCAGCAACGGGGCCUAUUAUGCACAUGAUGGUGUGAUACUCUCCUGGGUAGAGCUCAUCCAUGGCUUGCGUGAGUAUCCCCAAAGGCGGGUGGUAUGGCAAGCCGCGGGGAGCUCAGGAUAGGGUCAGCAGCUUCAACAGUUUGAACUGCACCAAUGCAACUGUAUGUCUCUAGAGUAUGUACUCAGCUCAAAAAAAAUCUCAAGUGUAUAUCUUCUCGAGACAUGACAUGGAUGAACACUGACAUGCUUGCUGCAAUCCCAUUAUGAACCACGUGCUUCUACUUCUCUCUGAAUUCGUAUUUUGAACAUGGUGAAUUUCUGGGAAUGUAGUUUCAUCUUUGCUAUUUAUGUCUGUAUAUUUGUGAAUACAUACAUGGUCAGUUAGUUUUCUUGGUAAACAUAAGAAUUUAGGUUCACAUAAACACCCACUUUUAUGUUGGCUACAUAUUAGUUACACUGAUGCACUACUCAAGCUUUGCUUUCCUUAUAUGGAAAUUUCAUCCGUGAAGUAUGUUGUACCAGCCUUAUGGCUUGCUGAAUAUUGCUCUCGCUAAUCGAUUGCUGCUAUGCAUAUUCUACUUUGCCUGUCUGGGGUAAAUUGAAGGAUGUGUCAUUGGCUGAUGAGGUUAUCCCCACUAAAGCCAAGAAGGCCAGGCGCAACUAAAACCAGGAAGGCCAAUUCUUGUUAAGUGCUCGCCCUUUUGGUACGACUAUUUAAUUUCCUCUUUGCUUACUCGAAUGCCUCCUGUCAUGGGCCUCCUACUGAUCAGCGCUUGCAAGUCUAUAUAUAUGCAGGACCUUAUCAUUUUGUCUGUGGAUGUGCGAAAGAAUGAUGUCUGGAUAUGGGAGUGUCUCUUUAGAUGUAGAUAUAGAUAGUGCCUCAAGCAACUAAACCGCAUAUGGGGUUUUAACAUUGUCUUUGGUGGAAAAGGCCCUCAAUUCUCGACCAUUGUUCUAUUUCCGAUUUCUUGCUUGGUUGUGUAGAUGUCGUGGGUAUUGUAGUCAAGGUUUCUGAUGUACUCUUGUUCCAGCCGCAACCAUGGCAAACUGUGACACUUACUAUGAAUCAGAAGUAGUUAUGUCUAUCUCUCUAUCUCUGUAUAUGAUUUGGGCAGCAUGUGUGCAUUGACCAUUCUGAUCUCUUUGCUUUCUCAUCCCCGACAUCCAG
rnacentral:lncRNA from 1 species